AGUGUAGUCAUAUUUUAGAUAGC
rnacentral:siRNA from 1 species